AUGGAAGCAACAAACGAAGACAAACUUCUGCCCAGGAAGCGAAAUCCAAGGUCAGGGAAAGGUUCCUCGGGCGUGCAGAUGGUUGAUGGACCUAUUGGUCCUCGAGAAUCCUCUAUUACAUAUGAAGGAGAGGCAGCUAAUACAGAAGAUGAAGCAAUGGAAAAAGCAGCUCAGGUGGCCCUAGAAUGCAUCUGUGCAGACUACAAUAUUUCUAUCAAUGAUCAUAAUUACUAUGCUCUUGAAGUCACAAAGGAAAGAUCAAUAGAAUGCACAUCUGCGAGUAAUCAUCGAGCGCGGCGUGCCGCCGCGCGGGUUAGGCUAGUAUACUUUAUAAAUGAAUAUGGGUUUUUUGGUGCAUUUGUGCUCGUCGGCGGGACGGUGCAAGGCGCAACUCCGACGCGGUUCCUUGCCGAAAUAAGAGAUGAAGCAUCCACCGAGCUCUCUCAGAGCUCAGGCUGCUUCAGUUUGCUCUUCCCACUCUCACUUACCUUCCCUCUCAUGCAUGCGCUUGGUUUCUUCCUCAUGCAGGCAGGCUGGGUGGGCUCCUCGUUAGCGUCGGCUUUCCCUGCCUGCCACUCCUCUCUGAUGGAGCGGACCUUUGGAUGCUCCUGCGCCUCCGGCCGUGGGCUAGGUUUUUUGGUGCGUUUGGGCUCGUCGGCGGGACGGUGCAAGGCGCAACUCCGAUCGGUUCCUUGCCGGUUAGAUGGCGUUCACGCGCAACCCCGGCGUGCACUGAGUACUACCUCGGCUACAACCUCCCUCGAAAUAAGAGAUGAAGCAUCCACCGAGCUCUCUCAGAGCUCAGGCUGCUUCAGUUUGCUCUUCCCACUCUCACUUACCUUCCCUCUCAUGCAUGCACUUGGUUUCUUCCUCAUGCAGGUAGGCUGGGUGGGCUCCUCGUUAGCGUCGGCUUUCCCUGCCUACCACUCCUCUCUGAUGGAGCGGACCUUUGGAUGCUCCUGCGCCUCCGGCCGUGGGCUAGAAUCCAGAAAUAAGGGAUGUAGUCACUCCCGGGCGCUCUCAGAGCUCAGGCGAUUCUGGCCGUCCAUCUCGUUUUCCUGGUUAUAUGUGAUAUCAUUGAGAGGAGCCGGCCAACAUCCCUACCUCCCUCUUCAACUCCCACCCAACACGAUUGUGGUGAGCUCCCCCUCUCAUCUACCUGCUAUCUGUACCUUCGGUUUUGGAUGCAUACAAAUUGUGUAUGCCAUGACUGAAACUCGAGCAGCAAAUUGUUCCUUCACGGCUGCCUCCCAGCCAAAUCCGGCCGCCACCAACCAGCACGUGCUCGCCUUGGUCUCCUCUUUUCUCCCUGAAAAAGUCUACCAGCCACUAGAUGCUACAAGUCUCUCCUUAGCGUGGAUAAGUAGUGCCACCUGGCCAGCGGCAGGAAGUCCACCGAUCGUUGGGAUCUGCUUCAUGGACGGCGCCUGGAAGAAGCUCAAUGACCAGACCAUCGUCCUCUCCAAGAGGAGGCACCAGCUCAAGCAGUGUGGAUGA
rnacentral:rRNA from 1 species